rnacentral:lncRNA from 1 species
CACGGUGGUCACUCAGUGACCCUUCGUCCGAUGGUGAAUGUCUAAGGAAACAGUGAGUGGCUGGCGUGACUGCACACAGUCAACCGAUACCCAAGACCAUCUUCAUGCUUCCUCGGCGACAUGGCUUCACCAGAGAGGCUGCAUCUAACAGGUGUCGAAACCAUACCGAGAAGGAAAGGUGCUCCCAUGACUCACACUAGCACCGUAAAAGAUGAGUAAACCAAGGCUGAGAAAAGCUGCGUGACUUGGACAAGCCGUAAGACAAAUGAGCAGCAGGAGCCAAGACCUGUCCUCACCUCUUCUGACUGCAAGCCCAGCAUCACACCAACCUAGACCUUGGGAGGCUAAGCACUUGGAGGAUUCUUCCAAAGAGAAGCAGAAACCUACUUUCCCUACAGGCCUUAAUGAGCUACAUGAAACCCAUUGACAUAGUUUGGCUGCGUCCUCACCCAAAUCUCAUCUUGAACUGUAGCUCCCAUAAUUCCCAUGUGUUGUGGGAGGGACCUGGCGGGAGAUAAUUGAAUCAUGGAGGUCGUUUCCCCCAUACUGUUCUUGUGAUAGUGAAUAAGUCUCAAGAGGUCUGAUGGUUUUAUAAGGGGUUUCCCCUUUCACUUGGCUCUCAUUCUCUCUUGUCUGCUGCCAUGUAAGGCAUCCCUUGCUCUUCCACCAUGAUUGUGUGGUCUCCCCAGCCAUGUGGAACUGUAAGUCCAUUAAACUUCUUUUCUUUAUAAAUUACCCAGUCUCGGGUAUGUCUUUAUCAGCAGCAUGAAAACAAACUAAUACACCCAUUAAAAAGUUAAGAAUGUAUUGGUACUGGUUAUUUUGUUCAAAAAAUUUGUUUAACAUUCAUCCAUAUGGAAUCCUUAAACUUGAUGUGGAAACUGAAGUGUAAUCUCACAGUUUUCAAAUUUUUUAGUUUUAGUUUUCAGUUUUACUUUUAAUACUGUAAAUAUUGAUAGAUAUAACCCACAUAAACACAAGUUCUCUG